rnacentral:rRNA from 1 species
UGGUGGAGUGAUUUGUCUGGUUAAUUCCGUUAACGAACGAGAUCUCAACCUGUUAACUAGUUUGCCUAUUGCCUGUACGGGUGAAGCCAGGCAACGUGUGCUUGGGUGUAAAAGCCUGGGUGCGCUCGCCUGGGGAUCCUUGGUGUAUAGGUCGAACUUCUUAGAGGGACUAUUGGGGAAUACCCAAUGGAAGUGAGCCAAUAACA